GGACCUCUUCGGAGGUCAGCGGCGGACGGGUGAGUAACACGUGGGCAACCUGCCUGUAAGACUGGGAUAACUCCGGGAAACCGGAGCUAAUACCGGAUACUAUGUCAAACCGCAUGGUUUGACAUUCAAAGACGGUUUCGGCUGUCACUUACAGAUGGGCCCGCGGCGCAUUAGCUAGUUGGUGAGGUAACGGCUCACCAAGGCGACGAUGCGUAGCCGACCUGAGAGGGUGAUCGGCCACACUGGGACUGAGACACGGCCCAGACUCCUACGGGAGGCAGCAGUAGGGAAUCUUCCGCAAUGGACGAAAGUCUGACGGAGCAACGCCGCGUGAGUGAUGAAGGUUUUCGGAUCGUAAAACUCUGUUGUCA
rnacentral:rRNA from 1 species